CCGGCACCGGGAACGGCUCCGGGAACGGCACCGGGUAACGGAGCGGUACCAGUCACGGGGCGACAGCACCAGGUCCCAAGGAAAACUCCGAGCUGGCUGGUGGAGGUGUUACCAGGAGAAAUUCUUCCUUUCCAGAGGAAAAGAACGGAGGAAAAUGACUGUAGCAGUGACCGAUGGAGAGGCUGCCCCUGGAUCUGCCCUAGAACUGCCCCAGCUCCACCCCAGCGAUGCCCCCAAGGGAUCUUAGCUCUGCCCCGGCUCUCUUUGUGCCUCAGAGAGUCUCGGGAAGCCUCUGGGAAGGUGAGCAUUAUGCAGGCUGAGCCGCAGCCGGACGCAUGGCCACCUCGCAUGAGCUCAGCAGGAUGCCGAAUGACGCCGCGCAUUCCGGGGACAGAGGGAGUCUGGAGCUUGGUAAUGGAUUUCCGAGAAAAUUGCCUCUGUGUUUGGAGCAGGAGCGCAAAGAGUGCAGGCGGAACGGCCUUUCUCUCUAAGUGGCAUCUCAAGGGUCUUAAUUAUUUCUCAGGAGUAGAAACAUUUAUUUAGGCGGCUCUGGAGAGGUCCUGACGCUUUUGGCUGCUGCCCUCCGGGUACAUCCUGUAUGCGAGGCUCCUCUGCAAUCCUCCCCGCUGCUCCCGGGAUGUGCAGAGUGCUGGGCUUGGGCAAAGCACAAACACCCAGCCACGGGAUGUGCGGAGUGCUGGGCUUGGGCAAAGCACAAACAUCCAACCACGGGAUGUGCACAGUGCUGGGCUUGGGCAAAGCACAAACACCCAGCCACGGGCUGUGCACAGUGCUGGGCUUGGGCAAAGCACAAACAUCCAACCACAUCACCUGUGGGCAGGACACGGCCUCAGCUCCAUCCCCUCCUGCUCCCUGGGAAGCAGGAGCUCUCAUGGGGGAGCCCAGCCCCAUCCCAUCCCUGCUUUGCAUCCCUCACGCUCCCGGAUCUCAAAACAAAACCCCGUUGUGAUAAUCCGGCCCAGCUAAUGUGAAACAGAUGAAUCCCCACAUUAGUCACAGAUUCACAUUUUCCCACAAAGGUCCCACUGGAGAGCCAGUGUGGAUGGGCCCUGCGGGGUUCCAGCCCUGGUGCUGGUGCAAGAGGCAGCCUGUGAAGAGUGAGGGGGACAGGGCAGCAGCACAGCCCCUGCCAGAGCCCCGCCACCCGUGGGCAGCACACGACUUGGAGCCAUGGGCAGGGCCAAGUGGGGGCACCAGAGAUGUUUGUCACUGGCACAGGCUCAGCCUGGUGGUGCCCAGUGCCAGGAGGAGGGGAUGAUCUGCUGCAGCAAAAAACGGAAAUGACAUUUUGUCCAAGGGGGAAUUUCCACAGGAAAACUCUGCUUCCAGCCACUCGGAUAUGGCUGGGAACAACCCAGCAAACACUUGGCCUCAGCAGCCAAGCAGCGCCAUUGCUUGGGCAAUGACUCCUUGUUUCCUCCAGAGUUCCUCCUGCCGGGAAAGAACAUCCAGUUUCUGCUACUGAAACAGCCAGGACAGCAAGAGCCCAAAUGGGUCUGCAGAGGGCACCAGAACCCCCCCAUCAGCUCAGUGAGUAUCUCUGCACCUGAGGGGGCAUGGGGGCCCUGCAGCACCCACAGCCCAGCUGGGACCAAGGGCACAAUCAACUCAUGCCCACCCCAGUGCCAGGGCUGGCUGGGGGCAUCAGGAGCACACACACCGGGGCUGCACUUGGCCCCCACACCAGGCUGUUGCAUCCCAACAUCCCUGCACAUCCCCAAGCAUCCCUGUCCUCUCCCAGCAUCCCUGCACAUCCCCAAGCUUCCCUGUCCUCUCCCUGCAUCCCUGCACAUCCCCAAGCAUCCCUGUCCUCUCCCUGCAUCCCUGUUCUCUCCCUGCAUCCCUGCACAUCCCCAAGCAUCCCUGUCCUCUCCCUGCAUCCCUGCUCUCCCUUGCAGAGCUCAGGUUGCCACAGUAACCACUCAGUCCCGGCCGUUCCUGCCAUCAACGUGCUGCCACAGGUCAGCCCAGUCCAGCAGCUGCACCAGGGCCAGGGCCCUUCACCCCAUGCUGGGGUGAGCAGAGCCCUUGGUGCUGGUGCCACCACAGCCAGGUGCUGCAUGGUGAGCCAGGAUGGGACACCUGUAGGGAAGCAGGCAGGUUGUGUCCUCCUGGAGUGGCUGGGAGGUGGUGUUUUUGGAGAUCACACUGUGCUGGAGCUCUGGGUCUGACCUCUGCCACAUGUGGCAGUGGAAGCCACCACUGCUGGGCUCUGCUCGGCUGUGUAUUUAUCUGAGUGUGAUGCAAUAUUUAUUUGCCUGUUGUGCUCUGAGCACUGGAAGCAGGGAUUGGGAUGGCUCUUGGCUUGGCCAGCAGUGGCAUGUGCUCUGCAAGCUCAGCACGUGUUGCUGUGGGAAGAUCUCAAAAAGCACCUGGGAGGGCAGAGGAGACCUUCAGGCUGGUCCUUGGGCAGGUGACAGCUGAGUCCUGGGGGUCUCUGCCUCCCACCCCUCACUGCUUGGCCCUGUGGAUGGGGCUGAAGCCGCAGAUAAACUGUGGCCUCUCUAAUCCCUGUCUGCUGCCUUAUUCCCAAGGACUGUCAAUAUUGCACAGCUCAGACACCCCAGGGCCCAGUGGGACCCUGCACGAGAGGCUGCUCAGGGCUGGCCUUGCUGCAGGGCUGCCCUGGCAGGUGGCUGCCCAUCCCCACGGGGCCGCCCUGUGCCCGUCACGCAAGUGCCCGCAUCCCAAGCGGAUUAUCUGCAUUUGGAAACCCCUAAUCCGUUUGCACGCUUGGCUCAGACACUGUCCCCACUCCUCCCCACUGUGCUGCAGCCCUGGGCAAGGAGCAAAGCCACCCUGUGACCUCCUUUUGGAGCCACAAACAACCUCAUGCCCCAGCACAGGCAGAAAGCAAGGGCUGCAGGGCUGACUGGGGCAGGAGGAGGGGGACAGGAUGUUGGCAAGUGGCCCUUGCCUCAGUUGCUGCAGGGGUUUUUCCAGCACAGGGACGUUCCCUGGGCACUUUUUCCUGCUGCCUAUCAGGCUCCCAGCCUGCUGCUCCCCAGAGCAUUGACAGCAGGAGCUCUGAGGUGGGAGCAGUGGUGGCCCCAUGACCCCAUCACUCAGGGCUGAGCAGGGCAGGUGCCAAGAGGGAUGCAGAGGGCCCAGGGAAUCCCUGACACUACAUGGUUGUGGUAACCCCAGGGGUUGUGGAUGGGUAAGAAAAUUCCUUAGUCCUGGGUUCUCAACUCCAUCCUGCAGCUGCCAGAGGGGAGCUGGUACCUGCCAGGGCAGGAAUGGGUUUGUGGGGCCUCGGCAGAGCCAUGGUUUGGUUUGACAGUGAAAUGGAGGGGUCCUGGAGUGGGGCUGGUUCCCAAAGCAGGGACAUGGUCAGCUCAGCCCUGAGCAGGAUGCUCCAGGGCACACAGGGCAGAGAAAACUCCAGUGCACCUCCAGCCCCUCAAAUGAUGCAGCACAGCCAGUUCCACAUGACCUGCAUGGACAAUCCCUCUAAUCCUGCUCUGACAGAGAAAUAAUCUCUCCCUCUUGGCAUCAUCAGAGCGCAAAGCCUGGAAUGAUCCUGCUCUCCGUGGCAUUGCAGAGGGUUAGGGGUGCCAGUGCUGGGGUGGGAUCCACCAGGGCCCUGUGGCAAAGCGUGUCACUGUCCCCAGCCCGUGCUCCCAGCCCCACACACCCAUCCAGCCGUGCCUUGCAGAGCCUGGCACCCGCUGCCCCCAGCCCAGUCACCUCCACCCACAGCCCAUCGCCCCCCAGGGCAGCAUCACUCACAGGGGCCCCAGCGCAGCCCCAGACACCUCGGGCUGAGAGCAGCCAGAGCAGGGCCCCAGCGCAGCCGUGCCCUCCCACGCUGGCACCGGCAUUUCCUUUACACAAGCAGAGGAGACCCAGGCGCGUCUCUGGGGCAGAGAAAGCAACCAGGAGGCCGGGCCGGGGCCAUUGCCCCCUGCAUGCCCCGGGGAGGGCCCCGGGCAGGGGCAGCUGCCCACGCGUGCCGGGCAGGCGGCGGGGCCGGCGCGCAGCGAGCAAACCGCAGCUGCGGCAGCGCGGCCGAGUGCGCAGAGGGAGGCCCCAGUUCCCGGAGCAGGGUCAGGCGGGUGCCGCAGGCAGAGCCAAGCUCACACCUCAGAGCACGUCGCUUCAGGGCCUUUAUUUCGGAGAAAGUUAAAGCCUGUAGAUACAGCAAUAAAAUAUACAAAAAAAUAAAAUUUUUUACAGUAUUGAAUGCUGCCAGGGAUUGCGGCUGGAGGCAGUGAGCGAGCAGAGGGGCAAAGGGCCCUCGUCGCCCCUGAGCAUCCCCAGGGCCAGCCACCGACCCCCUCCUGCUCCCACACAGCUUGGAGGGGCUUGCCCAGACCCCACAGCCAUGGGGAUCCUCUCCCC